UGCGUUGUGUAGCCAGCCGGUUUAUCUUUUUAUGUUGUACAGUUUGUUAGUUUACCGUAAAUAUGUCUUGAUUUGUACUCAAGAGUGGAGCAAGGCCCUAUGGAACAGAGAUUGACGCAUCGUGAGCGAAGAACAGACGCGAUGGAUGGUUAGGCUGCUUGACUUUCGGCUGUACGACUCUCGGCAUGUUAGGACUGGCAAAGUUCCGAAUUUGUCGCGGUGUGGUGUACGCUUCUGUGCUCGUCAAGUGCCGUCAGAGCGCGGGGAUGUUUGAACGGAAUGUGUCCCUUCGUCUACAAAACUCUGCACGCUGCGGCAUCGAAGACCUGUGUACGGGUGCACGUAUGCGCUUGGAUACGGGAUAGCCUGCCCUCAACGGAUGUUCAACAGUGUACGCACGCUGCGCGUACGCGUACGUAUGAGACUAGUUGCUGGUGUCCUGCUGGAGCUGAGAAGAGAUCUGCUGCCUGCCAUGAGACCAUGUCUCUCAAGUUACCGCAAUAUUGUUGCCUUCAAAGGGAGACAGCUCUCACAACUGGAGAAGCCCGGGAAGCAUGCAGUACUCCACGAAACCGGUUUCAACGUAAAAUGUGUCUGCAUCUCAUAAUUUCAUGGCUGCAAGAGUGAGCUCAAUGCCUGUCGAGACAAGGUUUCUUUACAUGGCCAUGGCGCUCAAGGAUGAAACCGAGACUGUAGACUGCCAAUGUUCAUUCCUGUUCCGGCAAAGACGGGCCAGCAGUAACCAGCAGGAUUUUACAAAGUGAACUCAUCACAGCUUGAGCCACUCCAUGCCACAAGCAGUUGCUCCUCGAGCCACCGUGCAAAGGUUCCUUGGGGCACAAGUCCAACUCAGCGCCACAACCUUUCUUCUGCAGUUUUUCUACCUACUUAGCUAACCAGCAGCAAGUUUAUCCUUGCAAGGCAUGUGGGAACAGCUUUCACCAGGAAACAGUGCAAGACGAGUGGUCGAAGAAAAUAAAAUUGCUUCUGUGAUCUAAAGUACUUGACGAAUAAAAUUUUGCACUUAUUUGUAUAUAGGUCGUGCAAUUC